CCGACCUUAGCUCAGUUGGAAGAGCACGAGACUGUAACCGGCUAAAUACUUUAUCUCGGGGUCGCCUGUUCGAACCAGGCAGGUCGGA